rfam:Ilheus virus strain BrMS-MQ10, complete genome
AUGUCUAAAAAACCAGGAAAGUCCGCUGCAAAGCGGACUGUCAAUAUG